AGAGUUUGAUCCUGGCUCAGAGCGAACGCUGGCGGCGUGCUUAACACAUGCAAGUCGAGUGCGCGUUUCCGUAGCAAUACGGAGAUGGCGCACGGCGCACGGGUGCGUAACACGUGGGUAAUCUGCCCUCUGAUGGGGAAUAACUCGCCGAAAGGCGAGCUAAUUCCGCAUAACAUUCCUUGGACUCCGGUCCGAGGAUUCAAAGGCGUAAGUCGUCGGAGGUGGAGCCCGCGCACGAUUAGCUAGUUGGUGAGGUAAUGGCUCACCAAGGCUAUGAUCGUUAGCUGGUCUGAGAGGAUGGCCAGCCACACUGGAACUGAGACGCGGUCCAGACUCCUACGGGAGGCAGCAGUGGGGAAUCUUGCACAAUGGGCGAAAGCCUGAUGCAGCGACGCCGCGUGGGGGAUGAAGCUUCUCGGAGUGUAAACCCCUUUCGACCGGGACGAAUACCUCGCAAGAGGGGUGACGGUACCGGUAUAAGAAGCCCCGGCUAACUACGUGCCAGCAGCCGCGGUAAGACGUGGGGGGCCAGCGUUGCUCGGAAUUACUGGGUGUAAAGGGUUCGUAGGCGGUGUGGCAAGUCGGGAGUGAAAUCUCUGGGCUUAACCCAGGGGCUGCUUCUGAAACUGCCGUGCUAGAGUGUGGGAGAGGCGCGUGGAAUUGCAGGUGUAGCGGUGAAAUGCGUAGAUAUCUGCAGGAACACCCGUGGCGAAAGCGGCGCGCUGGACCACUACUGACGCUGAGGAACGAAAGCUAGGGGAGCAAACAGGAUUAGAUACCCUGGUAGUCC
rnacentral:rRNA from 1 species